GUGGGAGUGCCGGAGUGGCCAAACGGGAUAGGCUAAGGACCUAUUGGCUUAGUGCCUACGCAGGUUCAAACCCUGCCUCCCACA
rnacentral:tRNA from 1 species